rnacentral:rRNA from 1 species
UGGUGCAUGGCCGUUCUUAGUUGGUGGAGCGAUUUGUCUGGUUCAUUCCGAUAACGAACGAGACUCCGGCAUGCUAAAUAGUUACGCGGCCCCGCGCGGUCGGCGUCCAACUUCUUAGAGGGACAAGUGGCGUUCAGCCACGCGAGAUGGAGCAAUAACAGGUCUGUGAUGCCCUUAGAUGUCCGGGGCUGCACGCGCGCCACAAUGGGCGGAUCAGCGUGUGCCUACCCUGCGCCGAGAGGCGCGGGUAACCCGCUGAACCCCGCUCGUGAUCGGGACUGGGGAUUGAAACUGUUUCCCAUCAACGAGGAAUUCCCAGUAAGCGCGGGUCAUAAGCUCGCGUUGAUUAAGUCCCUGCCCUUUGUACACACCGCCCGUCGCUACUACCGAUUGGGUGGUUUAGUGAGGUCCUUGGAUCGGCCCCGCCGGAGCUCCUCGCGGGCCCUGGCGGAGCGUCGAGAAGACGAUCAAACUUGACCAUCUAGAGGAAGUAAAAGUCGUAACAAGGUUUCCGUAGGUGAACCUGCGGAAGGAUCAUUA